rnacentral:rRNA from 1 species
GUACUGUGCAAACGUUAUUCGGAAUCACUGGGCUUAAAGGGUGCGUAGGCGGUGAUUUAAGUAGGGUGUGAAAUCCCUCGGCUCAACCGAGGAACUGCGCUCUAAACUGAAUCACUUGAGUAAGAUAGGGGUGUGCGGAACUUCCGGUGGAGCGGUGAAAUGUGUUGAUAUCGGAAGGAACGCCAGUAGCGAAAGCGGCACACUGGGUCUUAACUGACGCUGAGGCACGAAAGCCAGGGCAGCGAACGGGGGAUUAGAUACCCCGGUAGUCCUGGCUGUAAACGAUGAGUACUAGUUGGAAGGCGCUUACGCAUUUUCCAACGUAGCAAACGUAUUAAGUACUCCGCCUGGGGAGUAUGGUCGCAAGGCUG